rnacentral:SRP_RNA from 1 species
GCAGGGAGCAUCCGUGCAUGGGACGCCUGCUGCUGGUGGGGAGGC